AAAAAAGGUAAGCUACUAAGAGCGAAUGGUGGAUGCCUUGACUGGUAAAGGCGAUGAAGGACGUACUAGACUGCGAUAAGCUACGGGGAGCUGUCAAGAAGCUUUGAUCCGUAGAUUUCCGAAUGGGGCAACCCAAUGUAUAGAGAUAUACAUUACCUAUAUAGGAGCGAACGAGGGGAAUUGAAACAUCUUAGUACCCUCAGGAAAAGAAAUCAAUAGAGAUUGCGUCAGUAGCGGCGAGCGAAAGCGUAAGAGGGCAAACCCAGUGCUUGCACUGGGGGUUGUAGGACUGCAAUGUGCAAGAGGUGAGUUUAGCAGAACAUUCUGGAAAGUAUAGCCAUAGAGGGUGAUAGUCCCGUAUGCGAAAAACAAACCUUAGCUAGCAGUAUCCUGAGUAGGGCGGGACACGAGAAAUCCUGUCUGAAGCUGGGUCGACCACGAUCCAACCCUAAAUACUAAUACCAGAUCGAUAGUGCACAAGUACCGUGAGGGAAAGGUGAAAAGAACUGAGGUGAUCAGAGUGAAAUAGAACCUGAAACCAUUUGCUUACAAUCAUUCAGAGCACUAUGUAGCAAUACAGUGUGAUGGACUGCCUUUUGCAUAAUGAGCCUGCGAGUUGUGGUGUCUGGCAAGGUUAAGCAAACGCGAAGCCGUAGCGAAAGCGAGUCUGAAUAGGGCGCUUAGUCAGAUGCUGCAGACCCGAAACGAAGUGAUCUAUCCAUGAGCAAGUUGAAGCUAGUGUAAGAACUAGUGGAGGACUGAACCCAUAGGCGUUGAAAAGCCCCGGGAUGACUUGUGGAUAGGGGUGAAAGGCCAAUCAAACUUCGUGAUAGCUGGUUCUCUCCGAAAUAUAUUUAGGUAUAGCGUUGUGUCGUAAUAUAAGGGGGUAGAGCACUGAAUGGGCUAGGGCAUACACCAAUGUACCAAACCCUAUCAAACUCCGAAUACCUUAUAUGUAAUCACAGCAGUCAGGCGGCGAGUGAUAAAAUCCGUCGUCAAGAGGGAAACAACCCAGACUACCAGCUAAGGUCCCUAAAUCUUACUUAAGUGGAAAACGAUGUGAAGUUACUUAAACAACCAGGAGGUUGGCUUAGAAGCAGCCAUCCUUUAAAGAAAGCGUAAUAGCUCACUGGUCUAGUGAUUUUGCGCGGAAAAUAUAACGGGGCUAAAGUAAGUACCGAAGCUGUAGACUUGCGCACAACUUAGAUUAUUUAAGUUUAGAAUAUGAGAAACUAAGUUAUAUGUUUAGUUAUAUUUUUACUGAUUUUUAUAGAGUAAAGAUAGAAAUAAAACUUAGUAAAAUCAGUAAAAAUAUUCUUAGACUAAAGUUAAGUAGUUUAAGUUGUGUGCAAGUGGUAGGAGAGCGUUCUAUUUGCGUCGAAGGUAUACCGGUAAGGAGUGCUGGAGCGAAUAGAAGUGAGCAUGCAGGCAUGAGUAGCGAUAAUUAAUGUGAGAAUCAUUAACGCCGUAAACCCAAGGUUUCCUACGCGAUGCUCGUCAUCGUAGGGUUAGUCGGGUCCUAAGUCGAGUCCGAAAGGGGUAGACGAUGGCAAAUUGGUUAAUAUUCCAAUACCAACAUUAGUGUGCGAUGGAAGGACGCUUAGGGCUAAGGGGGCUAGCGGAUGGAAGUGCUAGUCUAAGGUCGUAGGAGGUUAUACAGGCAAAUCCGUAUAACAAUACUCCGAGAACUGAAAGGCUUUUUGAAGUCUUCGGAUGGAUAGAAGAACCCCUGAUGCCAUCGAGCCAAGAAAAGUUUCUAAGUUUAGCUAAUGUUGCCCGUACCGUAAACCGACACAGGUGGGUGGGAUGAGUAUUCUAAGGCGCGUGGAAGAACUCUCUUUAAGGAACUCUGCAAAAUAGCACCGUAUCUUCGGUAUAAGGUGUGGUUCGCUUCGUAUUAGGAUUUACUCCGAAAGCGAAGAAACUUACAACAAAGAGUCCCUCCCGACUGUUUACCAAAAACACAGCACUCUGCUAACUCGUAAGAGGAUGUAUAGGGUGUGACGCCUGCCCGGUGCUCGAAGGUUAAUUGAUGGGGUUAGCAUUAGCGAAGCUCUUGAUCGAAGCCCGAGUAAACGGCGGCCGUAACUAUAACGGUCCUAAGGUAGCGAAAUUCCUUGUCGGUUAAAUACCGACCUGCAUGAAUGGCGUAACGAGAUGGGAGCUGUCUCAAAGAGGGAUCCAGUGAAAUUGUAGUGGAGGUGAAAAUUCCUCCUACCCGCGGCAAGACGGAAAGACCCCGUGGACCUUUACUACAGCUUGACACUGCUAUUUGGAUAAGAAUGUGCAGGAUAGGUGGGAGGCUUUGAGUAUAUGACGCCAGUUGUAUAUGAGCCAUUGUUGAGAUACCACUCUUUCUUAUUUGGGUAGCUAACCAGCUUGAGUUAUCCUCAAGUGGGACAAUGUCUGGUGGGUAGUUUGACUGGGGCGGUCGCCUCCCAAAUAAUAACGGAGGCUUACAAAGGUUGGCUCAGAACGGUUGGAAAUCGUUCGUAGAGUAUAAAGGUAUAAGCCAGCUUAACUGCAAGACAUACAAGUCAAGCAGAGACGAAAGUCGGUCUUAGUGAUCCGGUGGUUCUGUGUGGAAGGGCCAUCGCUCAAAGGAUAAAAGGUACCCCGGGGAUAAC
rnacentral:rRNA from 1 species